CUGAAAAAAUUUAGUCACGUAGUUUUCUUAGACGGUGUAUUACAAAGAGCAAAAAGUUUUUUCUUUUGGAGAUACACCGAAAUAUUAAAGAAAUAUUCAGAGAGCGAGACAACAUUGGUUGUGAUGGCUGAACGUUUUUUCCUGCUACUAGUCACCCGUGAGGCACGGAGCAGCCGCGUGAGCACAUUUUGACCAGAGGUCAGGUCCUUUUAGCGGGAACCUAAACUUCCUGGAGCUGCAUUCGAAUAUCGUUGGAUGUUGAUGCUGGAACUGGCGUGAACAGGAAGUUGGGGGAGGCACUCAAUGGUAGGGCGUCACUGCACUUACUCAGUACUUCCUCUACAGCUCUCUGUGUAGAAAAAUUGAGUUUUCAGUUACCAUGGCAUUCACAAGGUCCAAGGAGGACGACACUAAUUCAGUAUACCCCAGCUUUAUCCAUGCAAAACACCAAGACAAGCUUAAGCUACAGAAUGGUAACAGAGAUGGGACAGGACAAGGAUUCACUAUUGUGAAUAGCACAUCUUUACCUCAACCACUUUGACCAACUCGACCAGGUCAAUUUGGCGUGACUCCACAGGCUGGGGGAUCUCAAGACUGCUCUGCUUUGCAUCCUCCAGUAAAGGCUCAACUGCGAGAAAGCAUGGAUUUGCCAGGUCAAGCGUCUGAGCCUGAGGAACUGAGAGAUGAUCUACUAGUGUGAUUUAUGCUGAUGGAAUUUACCUCUGGAUCGCUUCUUUUGUAGCAGGAAGGGUAAAUACCAGUGACCUCAGCAGACCAGCUAAUCAUCCACAUCCCACCAGUUUGCAAGUGGACCAACCUUUGUGAAGAACUUGUGGCCACGGAUAUUCUGCGAUGACGGGCGAUCCUGUGGGUCGAUUUGAAAUAUUUUGCCCAUCAGUUUCCCAGCUUCAAUACCGAGGUUCUGGGGUAGAAUAAAUUUAGCUUCUUUGAUGUUCUUUAUCAUUUCACAGCGAUCGUCGUGAUCGAAUGGGAUUUCCCCAACCAGAAGCUGGUACCUGUAGUAAGAAAGGCAGCAAAGGUGUUUGAGGUCUUUCACAUUUGACAUAAAAAUGCUGUGCUUCCAAAAGAGCAAUUCCUCUCAACUGUGUGCCAGUAUUCAUUUUUCUUUUCUAUUUCAAGUAGAAAAAAAAACAUAUUUAUGUAUGUUAGACGCAUGUCUUCUUAAAAUGUUAGACAGAUUUUAUUAGCCAUGCUGAUCUUUGGCCGGGAGGAGGGUUGAUAGGGUAUACGUACAUGACACAGCCCAGUGCCCAGACUUCUGCUUCUGUUCCAUGGCCCUCCCGUUUCCACACUUCUGGAGCCAUGUAGACUGGAGUACCACACACUUUUCUACAACACACACAAAUGGAAAACGUUAAGCGCACAUGUGCUUUAGUUUGCUGUAUAAACAAAUUUGAAAGCUUAGCCAGGAAUUCUGCAAAAAACACCUACUUCUCCCUCGGCUCCAGCUUGACCGCCAGUCCAAAAUCUCCAAUUUUCAGUUCCAUUUUGUCAUUCACAAAUAAAUUUUCUGAAAGACAAACGAAUUUGCAUUAAGGAUAGACUCAAAUACUUUGCCAAACUGCAGACUUUACCAAAUUGAUAAAUUAACACUACACAGAAAUCCAGACGAGCUACACUCGCAAUGCCAUGUGAAAUGCCAGCAUUAUUAAACAGAGAAUUGAGUAAAGCGUGAGUGCAUGUACACAUACCGAACUAGAUGUCCCUAUGGACAUAACAUUGCCGGUAGAUGUGUUUUAUCCCCGAUAUCAGCUGUUGAAUGUAAUAGCGGACUUCGGGGUCAAUCAGAGUCCCGCGAGCUUUCAGGAUGUCACCAAGUGUCUGGGCAGGGAGAAACAGGGGCAGCCUGAUCCAUCACAAAGUCUUUGCCUUAGUAAGAUGUCUACAAAAGUCAGGGACUCACCUGCCUACUGCACAACUCCAUGAAAAUAUACAUGAACAGAUCGUCUUCAAAAGAAUGGGAGAAGCCCACAACGUUCUUGUGCCGUGGUUUUUUUUCAAAAUCUCCACUUCUUGACACACCUGAGUGAAAUAUCAAACACCAUCUCAUCAAGUAUUGUAACAGGGAAAUGCAGAUAAACUGCAAAGAGGGAUGACAUUAAGCACAAUCCAUACCACAUACCUCCUCCAG